ensembl:lncRNA
UAGACCAGGCUGAUCCUGGACCAUCCCACAGAUGCUCAAUCAGAUCUGGAUGUGAGGAGUGUGGAACCCAGAUGUUCAGAGGGAGAUGAUGCCACAUCUGGUCCAGCUGAUGGAAGGUCUUGAAGUUCUCUGACUGGCCUGGACUGAAGAUGGUCGUCUCACUGGAUUUAAGGUUCAGAUGCUCAGUAACAAACUCCACCAAUGAGCCAACAGGGAAGCUUUAGGUUUAUUAAAUGUUGCUAUGAAGGUUUCGCUGUUUUUCUUUGUGAAUGCAAUGUGCUCCAACUGAAACUUGAAGUAGAACUUAGAAGUAAAUCCUUCCAUCUGAAAGGAUUUAGUUGCAUUGAUAACCUCAUAACAUUCUAAUUUUUAUUCCAGUCUUGGUUGGAAAUAGAAUCUCUGUAUUGAUUUAGGUAAAAACUGAACUUCACAGCAUGUUGAAGCAAAACAACCAGAUGAAAACUGUGAUGGUGUUGGAUUGUCAGACCGUAAUGUUGCAGCUCAAAGCAGCUUUUCUAUCUCAGUUCAUUCUGACAUUCAGCUAUGAAUCAACACAGCAGAUGGUGAUCCAUGCUGUGGAAGUCUCACAUCUCCUGAUUUAAUGGAGCUGCUUUGCACUUUUUACACUGUUUAUUCACCAACACUUUAUUUAAUAAAAGUCCCAUCUAGUUUUCAUGAGGAAUGUGAUGUUUUAAUUUCUCUGUGAAUAACUGCAGUCUAAUGCAACAGCUGGAGUUGUAACAUCUGUCCUGAUAUUGAUCAUGAAGUAUUGAUCAGAAUACUUAUGGUUAGCAGUCAUUCCUGAAGUUUUACAUUAAAAUCUUUACUUGUGUUGUGAACUUUGGUGAGAAGCAGAAACUUUAGCGUUGCCAUGGAUACAUGAGUGUUAAAUUCUGUCCAUGUUUCCAUUUUGGGAAAUGCAGUCCAGUUCCAGAAUGUGGAGGAAUUUAGUCUCACAAUCACAGACAACAAAUAUUAUCUGAAAGUUGGGUUAUUGUUGUUUAUCAGCACAAUACAAAAAGAUUAAUUUUAGAAAUUUCCAGUUAAGACUCUAGAAUAUCAUGAUUUAUGUAAAUUUAACUCAAUAAUAUGAAUGUUCAGGUUAAGAUUGUACAGUGAUAUUUAUUAUGUAAGUUUAGCUGAUUAAAGUUUAUGACUGCACAAAAAUAUUAUUUAAAUUUACAUCAUUAUUAUAAUAUUUAGGGUCAGACCCUACAGUAUUGAGAUUAAGAAAUCAAAUAUUCUAUAAAAUGUAAAUACACUGAACUCAUUUGGAUAUAUUUAAGUGAGACUCUACAAUAUUAUUUGACACAAAUCUAUCUAAAUCAAAAUUUUAGUUAUUUUUAUUCCAAACAUUUACUGGACUGAUUUAAAUAUUAAAAUCACUCCUUUCUAAUCCUCUGCUGUACGUUCAAACCUGAGGCCUUAAAUAGAAACACACAAGUAUCUGAUUGAAGGAACUUCUGCAGAGUCCUGGUUCCAGAACAUGAUGAUAGAAUUAUAAACAAACUUUAACAAAAGCUGCCUGAGAGUUUACAGGUUUUUAUGUUAGAUUUCUUCAGUAAUUUAAUGAGCGUUAUCAGCAAAAAUCAAGUGUUCAUUUGAUGAACUUCAUUUCCUAAAACAUCCAGAAUUGGAGCUCAUAUCUUUGGCAGCUGUAAAGUUUCUGCUCCUUCAAAGUUCACAACACAAUGAAUGAAUUCCUAAAACACUCUCAAUGCUGGAGAGCAUUUGUGAUGCUGAAGCAGUGACCAGUUUUUCUGUUUCUUCUCUGGAGAUGCACAAUGAGGGACGUCUGCAGAGACUGAGAAAGAGUCUCACCACAUCCUGACAUGAGGAAAAAGACUUUAUUGAAGACUACAAUGAGAAAAACUAUCAGAUAGCAGACGGCUGCAUUCAAGUCUGUAGCUGCUGAAUUCAUGGAUGAAUCAUCUGGCACUAGAGAGGAAGACCAUCAAACAUCCACGUCAGCUGAUGGAGGUCCAAGAGUCUCACCCAACAAACAACCUACAGAGUGAAGACCUCAAAUCUGAUUGGACGGCCUCCUAUUCAGCCACUUUAGGCUGUUAGAUUGUUCCAGAUAAGACAAGUACAAGAUUCUUCAGAGCCGUUCUACCACGAGCCUGACAGGAAGAACUCCAACAGCUACUGAAUGUUCCUGUGGUUCCCUCAAGGCUACAGGAGGAGCCCUAUGAGGACGAGCCGGUCCACCUGAUGGAGGCCAGUCGCUGUGGUUCAAAGCCAACACCGACUACGUGGACUUCUACUGGACCACAUGGAGGCCUUCAAACCGGACCAACAAGUUCAGCGACUCCCCGACUCGUGGGUCUGAGGACGCCGCCGAGCCUCGGUCCAGCCGGCCUCCUGUCUGUGGGAUGUUUGAGUGCUGAGAGGUUUUUGGAUGGAUGUGAACAUGUCUGUGUUUAAACAGCAGCUUUGGACUCAGUAACGCUGGGAAAAACCAAGAGCUCCUUUAUUUGUGACUUCCACUAAAAAAAAGAUGAAAAUAACCUUUUAAACCUUUUAGGUAAAUGUUCCAGGAUGUUGGGUAGAAUAUACCAUCAGAUCAACCUUUUAGGUCUACAUUGGAAGAUUUUAGAGUAGAAUAUUACUCCAAACCAUCCUUUAGGUCUACAUUUAAGGUGGAAUACUACUUUACACCAAGAUUUUUUUGGUCUACAUUGAAGGAUUUUAGGUGGAAUAUUCCUUUGAACGAACUUUUUAAAUUUAUGUUCAAGGAUGUUGGGUGGAAUAUACCAUCAGACCAACCUCCAAGGUCUAUAGUAGUGAAUUUUGGGUGGAAUAUACCAUUAAACUCACCUUUUA